GUCAUAUGCUUGUCUCAAAGAUUAAGCCAUGCAUGUCUCAGUACAAGCCAAAUUAAGGUGAAACCGCGAAAGGCUCAUUAAAUCAGUUAUGGUUCCUUAGAUCGUACCCACAAUUACUUGGAUAACUGUGGUAAUUCUAGAGCUAAUACAUGCAAACAGAGCUCCGACCGGAGACGGAAGGAGUGCUUUUAUUAGAUCAAAACCAAUCGGUGGCGGGUUCGCUCGUCAUCGUACAACUUGGUGACUCUGAAUAACUUUACGCUGAUCGCACGGUCAUCGCACCGGCGACGCAUCUUUCAAAUGUCUGCCUUAUCAACUGUCGAUGGUAGGUUCUGCGCCUACCAUGGUUGUAACGGGUAACGGGGAAUCAGGGUUCGAUUCCGGAGAGGGAGCCUGAGAAACGGCUACCACAUCCAAGGAAGGCAGCAGGCGCGCAAAUUACCCACUCCCGGCACGGGGAGGUAGUGACRAAAAAUAACGAUACGGGACUCAUCCGAGGCCCCGUAAUCRGAAUGA
rnacentral:rRNA from 1 species